CUACCAUGCAGUCGAACGCCCCGCAAGGGGAGUGGCAGACGGGUGAGUAACGCGUGGGAAUCUACCAAUCUCUACGGAAUAACCCAGGGAAACUUGGACUAAUACCGUAUACGCCCUUCGGGGGAAAGAUUUAUCGGGGAUAGAUGAGCCCGCGUUGGAUUAGCUAGUUGGUGGGGUAAAGGCCUACCAAGGCGACGAUCCAUAGCUGGUCUGAGAGGAUGAUCAGCCACAUUGGGACUGAGACACGGCCCAAACUCCUACGGGAGGCAGCAGUGGGGAAUAUUGGACAAUGGGCGCAAGCCUGAUCCAGCCAUGCCGCGUGAGUGAUGAAGGCCCUAGGGUUGUAAAGCUCUUUCAACGGUGAAGAUAAUGACGGUAACCGUAGAAGAAGCCCCGGCUAACUUCGUGCCAGCA
rnacentral:rRNA from 1 species